GGGUCAGUAGGUUGGUCGUGCCACCGGUACGUACUGGUCUCACUGAUUCCUCCUUCCUGCAGAGCCGUAAUGCCAUUAAUUUGGUGUUGCGGGGAAACAGGACUGUUACUUUGAAAAAAUUAGAGUGUUUAAAGCAAGCUAACGCUUGAAUACAUUAGCAUGGAAUAAUGAAAUAGGACGAUCGAUCCUAUUUUGUUGGUUUCUAGGAUUGACGUA
rnacentral:rRNA from 1 species